GACGAACGCUGGCGGCGUGCUUAACACAUGCAAGUCGAACGGAAAGGCCCUGCUUUUGUGGGGUGCUCGAGUGGCGAACGGGUGAGUAACACGUGAGUAACCUGCCCUUGACUUUGGGAUAACUUCAGGAAACUGGGGCUAAUACCGGAUAGGAGCUCCUGCUGCAUGGUGGGGGUUGGAAAGUUUCGGCGGUUGGGGAUGGACUCGCGGCUUAUCGGCUUGUUGGUGGGGUAGUGGCUUACCAAGGCUUUGACGGGUAGCCGGCCUGAGAGGGUGACCGGCCACAUUGGGACUGAGAUACGGCCCAGACUCCUACGGGAGGCAGCAGUGGGGAAUAUUGCACAAUGGGCGGAAGCUUGAUGCAGCAACGCCGCGUGCGGGAUGACGGCCUUCGGGUUGUAAACCGCUUUCGCCUGUGACGAAGCGUGAGUGACGGUAAUGGGUAAAGAAGCACCGGCUAACUACGU
rnacentral:rRNA from 1 species